rnacentral:rRNA from 1 species
AUACGAAGGGGGCUAGCGUUGCUCGGAAUUACUGGGCGUAAAGGGAGCGUAGGCGGACUGUUUAGUCAGAGGUGAAAGCCCAGGGCUCAACCUUGGAAUUGCCUUUGAUACUGGCAGUCUUGAGUACGGAAGAGGUAUGUGGAACUCCGAGUGUAGAGGUGAAAUUCGUAGAUAUUCGGAAGAACACCAGUGGCGAAGGCGACAUACUGGUCCGUUACUGACGCUGAGGCUCGAAAGCGUGGGGAGCAAACAGGAUUAGAAACCCCUGUAGUCC